GACAGAGGGUGCAAACGUUGUUCGGAAUUACUGGGCGUAAAGCGAGUGUAGGCGGUUUCCUAAGUCAGGUGUGAAAGCCCCGGGCUCAACCCGGGAAGUGCACUUGAAACUGGGUCGCUAGAGUAUCGGAGAGGUUGGUGGAAUUCUCGGUGUAGAGGUGAAAUUCGUAGAUAUCGAGAGGAACACCGGGUGGCGAAGGCGGUUCUCUGGGCAUGUCCUGACGCUGAGGAGCGAAAGUGUGGGGAGCGAACAGG
rnacentral:rRNA from 1 species